rnacentral:rRNA from 1 species
AUGGCCACUUCUCACACGGACAAAGCUGCCAUUAUCCACAAUCAUUUUCUCAAUUUGUUGGGCACCAAGCACGACCGCGGCUGCUCCAUCAACUGGGAUGCUAUUGAUCUGUCGAUGGUUCAGAACACUGGCCUGGACAACCCAUUCUCUGAACCUGAGGUCUGGGCUGAUGUCUUAGCUUCGCCUGCUGAUAAGGCGCCAGGGCCGGAUGGGUUCUCGAGUGCCUUUUUCCGGGCUUGCCCGUGCACUAUCAAGCACGACGUUAUGGCGGUUUUCGAUCACUUCUACAGACUAGCCCGGGGCAAGUUCUCAUACCUGAAUUCUGCCAUGAUCACCCUAUUGCCAAAGAAGGACGGUGCAACCUGCAUGGGAGAUUUUAGACCUAUCAGCCUCAUCCACUCCAUCGCCAAGCUGAUCGCAAAGGUGCUUUCGAUGAGGCUUGUUGCGUGUUGA